GCCUCUCUUUUCAUCAAAUCACUUAGAAAAUGGCUACAGUUGGUGGUGGUUCCCCAGUGGUGAGAGGUUCCUAGAGCUUCUCAUGUUACAUAAGAACAAAUGGAUUAUUUAAUAUUUUACUUUAACAUUUUUCUUUGCUUAAGAGAUUGUUAAAAUAUUUGCAAAUCAAAACGACAAAUUUUAGAAAUAAGAAUUUGGUUUCUUUGUUUUGAGUGACACGUUGCUCUUAUCAAAGGACAAAAGAAGACUUCACAUUAUUAAUGUGGUUUUUAUUCCCUGAGAUUCCAAAGGUAUUAUAUGGAAUUGUUGACUUGGUGUAAUUAAAAACCAAAAUGUCCUAUUUUAAACCGAAUGCAAAAAUAAGGAAUGUAGUUUACAAUGAACCUCCAUGUGCUCAUUACCUGGCUUUAACGAUUGUCACUUCACAGCCAAAAUUAUUCAUGCUCCUUUCUUGUGAUUAUUUUGAAACCAGGCACUGACAUCAUGUAUUAUUUCAUCCAUAAGUAUUUUAGUACCUAUCUCUGAAAGAUAGACUCUGUAAAAAACAAAUAACUACAAUGUAGUAUGACAUGGCUAGGUGCAGUUUUAAGUUCAGGUUUUUAUUGGUGAAGAGGAAGAUGGAUCAGGUGAUUUCUGUUCUGUCCUAGCUUUCAGUGCCAAUGGAAAAGAUAUCAUUGACAACUUUCACCAGCAGUCUCACUGUACUGGGUUGCUAUCAGAAAUGGUGUUGGUGCCCAGUAUUCAUCCUGGGGUUACGUGUGAUGGAUGUCAGAUAUUUCCUAUCAAUGGAUCCAGAUUCAAAUGCAGAAACUGUGAUGACUUUGAUUUUUGUGAAACGUGUUUCAAGACCAGAAAACACAAUACCAGGCAUACAUUUGGCAGAAUAAAUGAACCAGGUAUGGCAGAAUGUUUAUAUUCUCUCUUCCACCAAAUAUUAAUGAAAUACUUAUUGUGGACCACAGUGUAUUGGAAUUUGUUAUUUUAAGGUUCUAUGUAUAUGGUAAUUCUGUAGAGUGAGUAGAGUGAAAUGGAAGUGAUGGUCCUACCCGCUGAUGACUGGCUGGCUUUUUAAAACAGGAUGGGGUGUUGGGGAAGAAUUAGAAUAAUUAGGCUUGUUUGCUUGUUUUUCCAUAAAGAAACAUUAAAAAAAUCUCAAGAAA